rnacentral:rRNA from 1 species
CGUGUCGUGGGAUGUUGGGUUAAGUCCCGUAACGAGCGCAACCCUUGUCCUUAGUUACCAGCACGUUAUGGUGGGCACUCUAAGGAGACUGCCGGUGACAAACCGGAGGAAGGUGGGGAUGACGUCAAGUCAUCAUGGCCCUUACGGCCUGGGCUACACACGUGCUACAAUGGUCGGUACAAAGGGUUGCCAAGCCGCGAGGUGGAGCUAAUCCCAUAAAACCGAUCGUAGUCCGGAUCGCAGUCUGCAACUCGACUGCGUGAAGUCGGAAUCGCUAGUAAUCGUGAAUCAGAAUGUCACGGUGAAUACGUUCCCGGGCCUU